GGCAACCCAAAAGCACUUGUCAUUGAUUUGUUCUGCACCCAAGCUUUCGAGGUCUGCGGUGAAUUAUCAAUCCCAGUUUACUCGUUCUGUACUGCAUCCACCGCUUUGCUUACCCUUUCUCUUUAUCUUCCUACUCUUGACCGUGAAGUGGAUGGUGAGUUCGUUGAUCUCCCAGAACCGAUUAAGGUUCCUGGUUGUAUCCCGAUUCGAACUGAAGACCUGCUGGACCAAAUUAAGAACCGGAAAAUCGAUGAAUAUAAAUGGUAUUUACUUCAUGUGAGCCGAUUGCCUUUGGCAGCUGGGAUACUUCUUAACUCGUGGGAGGAUCUCGAACCAGUUGGCCUUAAAGCUGUAAGAGAGAAUUCAUUCUUCAAACAAAUACCCACACCACGUGUUCACCCAGUAGGACCACUGAUCAAACAAGAAGAAACACCAACUGCUGCUGCCUCGAAUAUAGAAUGCCUUGCAUGGCUAGACAAGCAACCGCCUGGCUCUGUUCUCUUUGUAGCUCUCGGCAGCGGUGGCACCUUGAAAGCUGAGCAACUCACUGAACUAGCAUGGGGGCUGGAACUGAGCCAGCAGCGGUUCAUCCUGGUUGUCCGUUCACCAACAAAUAGUAGUGCCUCUGCUACAUUUUUCAACGUGGGAAGUGACGUAAACGAUCCAAAGGCUUAUCUACCAGAAGGAUUCUUUGAGAGGAUUGAAGAAAGGGGACUGGUGGUUCCAUCAUGGGCUCCACAGGGGUUAGUGCUUAAACACCCAUCAACCAGAGCAUUUCUAUCUCACUGCGGGUGGAACUCAACAUUGGAGAGCGUAACUUAUGGUGUACCAAUGAUUGCCUGGCCGCUCUACGCAGAGCAGAGAAUCAACGCCACAAUAUUAGCAGAGGAAGUUGGGGUGGCGAUCAAGCCAGCCGUGGGAGAGGGGAAGACGACGGUAGGACGUAAAGAGAUAGAGAGAGUUGUAAAACUGGUGAUAGAAGGCGAGGAAGGGAAGUUGAUGAGAACAAGGGCUUUAAAGCUACAGGAAAGUGCUGCUAAAGCUUUGGAUAUUUGUGGGUCGUCUCAUGAUUCUCUUGCUCGUGUGGCCAAGGAGUGGAAGGCUUAGCCCGAAACAUUGGUGAAUAAAUUUCCAUGAUAUUUCAUUCUCCAUUGUCAGAAUUCUG
rnacentral:misc_RNA from 1 species